GUACACACCGCCCGUCGCUACUACCGAUUGGAUGGUUGGGUGAGGAGGUGGGAAAAACCGAGACAGUCGGUUUUGAACACACCCAAACCCUAUCAUCUAGAGGAAGUAAAAGUCGUAACAAGGUUUCCGUAGGUGAACCUGCAGAAGGAUCA
rnacentral:rRNA from 1 species